rnacentral:rRNA from 1 species
AUACCGGAUAGGAGCGGCCACCGCAUGGGGGGUGUUGGAAAGAUUUAUCGGUUUUGGAUGGACUCGCGGCCUAUCAGCUUGUUGGUGAGGUAAUGGCUCACCAAGGGGGCGACGGGUAGCCGGCCUGAGAGGGUGACCGGCCACACUGGGACUGAGACACGGCCCAGACUCCUACGGGAGGGAGCAGUGGGGAAUAUUGCACAAUGGGCGCAAGCCUGAUGCAGCGACGCCGCGUGAGGGAUGACGGCCUUCGGGUUGUAAACCUCUUUCAGUAGGGAAGAAGCGAAAGUGACGGUACCUGCAGAAUAAGCACCGGCUAACUACGUGCCAGCAGCCGCGGUAAUACGUAGGGUGCGAGCGUUAUCCGGAAUUAUUGGGCGUAAAGAGCUCGUAGGCGGUUUGUCGCGUCUGUCGUGAAAGUCCGGGGGCUUAACCCCGGAUCUGCGGUGGGUACGGGCAGACUAGGAGUGCAGUUAGGGGAGACUGGAAUUCCUGGUGUAGCCGGUGGAAUGCGCAGAUAUCAGGAGGAACACCGAUGGCGAAGGGCAGGUCUCUGGGCUGUAACUGACGCUGAAGGAGCGAAAGCAUGGGGAGCGAACAGGAUUAGAUACCCUGGGUAAGUCCAUGGCCGUAAAACGUUGGGGCACUAGGUGUGGGGACCAUUCCCACGGUUUCCGCGCCGCAGCUAAACGCAUUAAGUGCCCCGCCUGGGGAGUACGGCCCGCAAGGCUAAAACUCAAAGGAAUUGACGGGGGCCCGCACAAGCGGCGGAGCAUGCGGAUUAAUUCGAUGCAACGCGAAGACCCUUACCAAGGCUUGACAUGUUCUCGAUCGCCGUAGAGAUACGGUUUCCCCUUUGGGGCGGGUUCACAGGUGGUGCAUGGUUGUCGUCAGCUCGUCUCGUGAGAUGUUGGGUUAAGUCCCGCCACGAGCCCACCCCUCGUUCCCUGCUGCCAGCCCGUAGUGGUGGGGCCUCAUGGCAGACUUCCGGGGUCCACUCGGACGAAGGUGACGAGGACGUCAAAUCAUCACGCCCCUUACGUCCUGGCCCUCACGCCUGCUACCAUGCCCGGCCCAAUGGGUCCCGAUCCUGUGAGGCGGACUAAUCCCAAAAAGCCCGUCUCAGUUCGGAUUGGCGUCUGCACUCCCCCCACAAGUCGGAGUCCGCUAGUAAUC